GCCGGGCGGGGAGAUCUGGGGCGGGGAGGACCGAGGCGGGGAGAGCCUGGGCGGGGGUCGUUCUCGGCCUCGCCGGAAAGCCGGGGCUUGUGGGGCGGGGCGAUCUCGGCUGUGGCGAGACAGCCUGGGAGGGGGGCGCCCUUGGCCGCUCGGGGAGAUCUGGUGCGGGGGUCGUUCUCGGCCGCGCCGGGAAAGCCGGGGCAUGGGGCGGGGGGCGAUCUCGGCUGUGGCUGGACAGUCUGGUCCGGAGGCGGCCUCUGCCGUGCGGGAGAGCCGUGGCGCGGGGAGAGCCGGGGCGGGGUUCGGUCUCCGCUGCGCAGAUCGUGGCGGCUGGGGCCUGCGGGCGGGCUGCUGUGGACAGCGCUGAGCCGCCUGCCGAGACUGUUGAGAGGCGCGCGACUCCCGGAGGCUUGGCCUGAGGUGGCUGCUGGGGGCUCGGUGCCUGCCUGGAGGCCGCAGGGAGAAGGCGGGCCUGGGGCUGGGGCUGGCGGCCCUCCAGCUCCGACAAGGGACCUGUGCCCGCGCACUACCAGCUAGUCUUCACCUGCGAUGUCUGUGGGACUGGGUACUCCAAGCAUAUCUCCAAGCUUGCCUAUCACCAGGGUGUGGUCAUUGUGACCUGUCCUGGCUGCCAGACCCACCACACCACCCCGGACAACCUGGGUUGGUUCUCGGACCUGGAUGGGAAGAGGAAUAUUGAAGAAAUCCUGGCAGUCAGAAGGGAGAAGAUCCAAGAGACUCAGAGAGUUUGCCGCUGUCAGGCUGUCACUGAGAGUGAGGACGGUUGGAUUGAAGGAAGAAAUGAACGAAUCCCAGAAGGAACGAGUGGAGAGUGAGACACGAGGUGGGGAAAUGGGAUACACAGGAUUGUAGCAAAGCCCCCCAGGCGAAAGCAGACUCAGUGCUCUGGGGAUAGAAGUCGAUGCGGACCCACCUUGGCUGUGCUGAGCAGGAGAAAUUCCCCGGUGAGUGACUCUCACCGAGACCUACUGCCCUGCUUCAAUUGUCUCCUAGGGAUUCAGGGACAACCCCACUGUCCUGUGAGCAGACCUCUUUCUACCCAAAUCUACAUCACACACACACAAGGCAACAUGAAUUAAAAUAUCUCUACUACAUUGCACUGAU